rnacentral:rRNA from 1 species
AUUGAACGCUGGCGGCAGGCCUAACACAUGCAAGUCGAGCGGAUGAAGAGAGCUUGCUCUCUGAUUCAGCGGCGGACGGGUGAGUAAUGCCUAGGAAUCUGCCUGGUAGUGGGGGACAACGUGUCGAAAGGAACGCUAAUACCGCAUACGUCCUACGGGAGAAAGUGGGGGAUCUUCGGACCUCACGCUAUCAGAUGAGCCUAGGUACGAUUAGCUAGUUGGUGAGGUAAAGGCUCACCAAGGCGACGAUCGUUAACUGGUCUGAGAGGAUGAGCAGUCACACUGGAACUGAGACACGGUCCAGACUCCUACGGGAGGCAGCAGUGGGGAAUAUUGGACAAUGGGCGAAAGCCUGAUCCAGCCAUGCCGCGUGUGUGAAGAAGGUCUUCGGAUUGUAAAGCACUUUAAGUUGGGAGGAAGGGCAGUAAGUUAAUACCUUGCUGUUUUGACGUUACCGACAGAAUAAGCACCGGCUAACUUCGUGCCAGCCGCCGCAGUAAAAC